UGCGAGCGUUGUCCGGAAUUACUGGGCGUAAAGAGCUCGUAGGUGGUUUGUCGCGUUGUUCGUGAAAUCUCACGGCUUAACUGUGAGCGUGCGGGCGAUACAGGCAGACUUGAGUACUGCAGGGGAGACUGGAAUUCCUGGUGUAGCGGUGGAAUGCGCAGAUAUCAGGAGGAACACCGGUGGCGAAGGCGGGUCUCUGGGCAGUAACUGACGCUGAGGAGCGAAAGCGUGGGGAGCGAACAGGAUUAGAUACCCUGGUAGUCCACGCCGUAAACGGUGGGUACUAGGUGUGGGUUUCCUUCCUUGGGAUCCGUGCCGUAGCUAACGCAUUAAGUACCCCGCCUGGGGAGUACGGCCGCAAGGCUAAAACUCAAAGAAAUUGACGGGGGCCCGCACAAGCGGCGGAGCAUGUGGAUUAAUUCGAUGCAACGCGAAGAACCUUACCUGGGUUUGACAUGCACAGGACGCCGGCAGAGAUGUCGGUUCCCUUGUGGCCUGUGUGCAGGUGGUGCAUGGCUGUCGUCAGCUCGUGUCGUGAGAUGUUGGGUUAAGUCCCGCAACGAGCGCAACCCUUGUCUCAUGUUGCCAGCGGGUAAUGCCGGGGACUCGUGAGAGACUGCCGGGGUCAACUCGGAGGAAGGUGGGGAUGACGUCAAGUCAUCAUGCCCCUUAUGUCCAGGGCUUCACACAUGCUACAAUGGCCGGUACAAAGGGCUGCGAUGCCGCGAGGUUAAGCGAAUCCUUUUAAAGCCGGUCUCAGUUCGGAUCGGGGUCUGCAACUCGACCCCGUGAAGUCGGAGUCGCUAGUAAUCGCAGAU
rnacentral:rRNA from 1 species